rnacentral:rRNA from 1 species
AGUGAACGCUGGCGGUAGGCCUAACACAUGCAAGUCGAACGGCAGCACAGUAAGGGCUUGCUCUUACGGGUGGCGAGUGGCGGACGGGUGAGGAAUACAUCGGAAUCUACUUUUUCGUGGGGGAUAACGUAGGGAAACUUACGCUAAUACCGCAUACGACCUACGGGUGAAAGCAGGGGAUCUUCGGACCUUGCGCGAUUGAAUGAGCCGAUGUCGGAUUAGCUAGUUGGCGGGGUAAAGGCCCACCAAGGCGACGAUCCGUAGCUGGUCUGAGAGGAUGAUCAGCCACACUGGAACUGAGACACGGUCCAGACUCCUACGGGAGGCAGCAGUGGGGAAUAUUGGACAAUGGGCGCAAGCCUGAUCCAGCCAUACCGCGUGGGUGAAGAAGGCCUUCGGGUGGUAAAGCCCUUUUGUUGGGAAAGAAAAGCAGCAGGUUAAUACCCCGCUGUUCUGACGGUACCCAAAGAAUAAGCACCGGCUAACUUCGU